AUAACGAGUUUGUUUCACUUUGGAGUUUGGACUUUCUUUCGUUACCGUUGAUUGUUGAAUCUUGAAUCAAUUGAAAGAAAUAUGGCGACCACAUUGUGACUUGCAAGUGUCCGGAUCGGGGCCAUUACGUCAACAAAAUCUGCCGUACUAAAACAGCACAGCAACUAUGCAUAGUAGCAGUGAAAACUGAAAAGCAACAUGGAGGCGUGUGGAUUUUCGGGGAGAAAUUGACAGCUCUCGGAUAAGAAACUAUUGCAUGGGAGGACCUUAAAGCGAGUUAUUAUUGGAGCAGCCCUAUAUCAAUUCUAACAGUUGCUGGAAGAUUUGGCCGUUACAGAAUUUUAUAAAGCCCUUUGACAAUGAAAGCAAUGCAAUAUGUGAAGCAGGUGGCUUCCAUGGCAAAAACAAAUCCUCUCUGGAUCUUGACAAAUAAGUGACUAGAGUUUUUUUGAGACCACUUUGAGACUGUCAUCAAAGUGGAGAAAGAAAAAGAGAAACUUAUUCUACUCCCUUCAAGACUGUCACUGUAUGGAAGGCUGUCACAAAACAUGUUAACCAGGAAACAAGUGAUGCAAACCAACUUCUAAAACUCAGUGAUGACCGUUUAAUGUUCGUGUCAACUGCCCACCCUUGAGGACCGCCCAGUCAAAGAACCGCCAACCUAAUCGCAACCUGCUGCAGCCAGCACUGAGAACUCGCGAUUACGAGGAACUACACAACUUUGUAUGGCAGUUGCAGAACCACAAGAGCUCCUUGCCGUUCCUCAAGUCUGUGGCUGUAACAGAAGUAACAACUUUUAUAAGAUCAUCAAGAUUACAAAGAGUUGAUACCUGCGACUUGGUAAAGUUCUCACGCGUACCCGUGAUUUUUGUACUACUUACCGAAAGUUAACGUCGUGUGCUUUUUGCUGUAUGCAUCGCUUUGCUUGAUCCUUGAUUGCGUGGACAAAGUCGUUGGUCUUUUCCGAGUAUUUCUUUUACUUCAGGUUCAAAACCUAUAGCAUUCUGUUGUUUAAGAUGGCGUGAUGAAGUACCAGUGGUGAAGUCAGAAAUGGAAACAGUUAACUAUGGCGUUGUGCUGCUGUUGGUUGUUGUAUCGUUGAUGACUGGGUCGACCACGAGUGUACCGAUGUCUGGGUAUGGUGGAUUCCAAGCAACAGCAGCGAAAGAAUAGUACACCACGUUGCAGCCUUAAUACACAACAACGUCAACAUAAGCAACACCUACUUACUACACUGAUGCUCGUAAGUACUACACCACCUAGGCUCCAAGACUACACGAAAACUUACGUUUCCCUGAGCGACCUGUGAAACACGAAAGUAUUUCUCUGCCCCGAGUUACACAGAGUUACAUCACCAAAGCGCCUGAGUACUACACUGAGGCUCCCAAUUACUAUUCUGAUCAUAGCUACUACACCGAGGCUGCAGCUUGUUACACCACCAAAGCGGUCGAGUGCUACACCGAAGCGUCCAAGUACUACACUGAAACCUACUGCCGCGCACAAUUUGUCACCAAUUGCCUUCUUCAUCGUAUUGAUCCUGUUCUCAAUAACGGCUAACUAUGGCUUUAUGUUGCGUUUUGUUUUUGCAUUGUUGAUGGCUGUGUCCAACAUGGGUGUACCGAUGUCUCAUGGGAAUGGCGUAUAGCAAACCGCAACGCCGCUGCCUUACUACACAACAACAACAACAUACGCAACAUUCGGUUACUACACCACCAAGUCUUAAGAGUAUUACACCGAAACUUAUGAUGCCCCGAGCUACUACACCGAGGUCCGAACUAUAAGUCUGCCUGAGCUACAUUACCAAAGAGCCGGAGUACUACCCCAAAGCGCCCAAAUACUACAUUAAAACCUACGCUGCCCCGAGCUACUACACCGACGCCCCGAAGUUUUAGUCUUUUCAAAUGCAGAUUAAUGAAAUUACAUUAAUAACAAUUCGUUAACACAAUACAUUUUAUUCUAUGUCUAUGUUAACUACAUAAAAAUAAAUUUAUUAUUCAUUAAUCACAUGAGUAAAUAAAUAAAUAUGACUAAUAAUAUUAAUCCGU